UUCACGGUUUUUCCUCGGGCGUCUUCGGGCGCGCCCGCCGGCGCUCGGCUUGGCGGGCAGUUCGUCCGUUUCGCGCGGCGCGCUCUGUUUUCAGUUUACAAUCGGCGUCUAGAUGAGUCGUGUCACCCAGCUCGCGGCCGGGCCGAUUUUCUCGCGCGACACGCGGAAGUGAAUCCAACCCCCGUUGCCCGAGCAUCACGCACUCGACAAGACAGUGGGCGCGAGGCCGGGACGUCGCCGCCGGACUCGCGAAUCGCGCUUGAGGCCGUCGAACGCCGUGAGGUUGGCCGCGCGAAUCCUCCAACGGCCGAAUCGAGUGACAGUGCGCCGACAGUGAAGCAGCGACUUGGACCGGAAGCGCGAAGAGACGACGAAUCGUGCUAGGAUGAGAACGAGGAAACUCAGGCAAAACAAUUCGUGUGGGUACCUGGACAGUAGCAGGAAGCUCGGUGAAAGCUCUAUCGCGCGUAAAACUUAGGGUCGUCGUAUGUCCUACUUUUCAUUAAGCAGUUCCACAACACUGUACAUUAUACCUGCCACGCAUCUAAACGUUUAAAUGCCCUUUCGGUGCAAAGAAUCCAGUUUUGCAUAGAAAUGCGCGACGAGUCGUGACGAGCAUACGUGUAAAAAUAGAUCCUUUUAACGUAAAUUUAAAAAUAAGAUCUUUUUAACAUAAACUUUAAAAAUAGAUCCUUCCACUCGGUACUGUUCUUUCGAUCACGCGCGCACGUUUCCAUGCGCUGCCAUUUAAAAUGUGGCAACCGUAGUAAGACACAAUAACGAGCACGAGUUCGCAUUGUAUGUCAUUUUCAAACCGAGAUGGACCUCGAGAAUCUCACCGCGAUGUCGGCCAUCGACGAGUUAGUAGACGACGUCCAGUCGAAUAGCACAAAUAUAACGGAUUUUCCUGAUUACGACAUCAACGAUUCCUUCAGUCACUUCGAAUGGGCGGAACUGGCGCCUGUCCUGGUGGUCUAUACCUUGACUUUCUUUCUCGGAUUAAUCGGGAAUGUCAUUAUCAUCGCUUCAACCCUUUGUCGGCUCAGGCCGUUGCCGGCGACACCGACGAACGUUUUCCUGGGCUGUCUGGCCACGGCUGAUCUUUUGUUAAUUAUAUUCUGCAUACCCGUGAAGAUAGCGAAAUUGUUCUCCUACACAUGGACCAUGGGUAUCUUCCUAUGCAAAGCGGUGCAUUACAUGCAGAGUGUGUCGGCUAUCUGCUCGGUCGUCACCCUCACCGCGAUGUCGGUCGAGAGGUAUUACGCGAUAGUGCAUCCAAUGAAAGCGCAGUAUAUGUGCACCAUAAGCCAAGCCCGUAAGAUCGUGAUCAUAACUUGGAUCGCGGCGUUUCUGCUGGGAAUACCAAUGAUGUUUACACAGACACACAAGAAGGUCGGGCUGAGGUGGAUCGCCUAUUGGUGUGUCCGCGACUCCGAGGCCGGACUUUUGUGGCGGGCCCACGAGGUCUACAUGCUGGUCGUGGUCCUCGUGCUGCCGCUCAUCAUCAUGGCCUUCUGCUAUACGAGCAUCUGCUGGGAGAUCUGGCGCGUUAUGAAGCGCCGGUACCACAUGACGUCGCGACACGCAUUAAAUCCAAACAGCGCAGAUACAGAAUCUAUUCCCAUGACACAGCGACAGGACGGGAAUGAACGCAAAUCGCGUCGGGACGAGAAAGACGAAGAGUCACGGACCAUGAAGCAGGUGGUGAAGAUGCUGGUGUUGGUCGUGAUGCUGUUCGCCAUUUGUUGGGCCCCGAUACUCGUCGACAACGUGCUGACCGCUUACGGCUAUCUGCCGCGAGUCAAGGGUGGGUGGCACAAGCAUCUCAACACCGCGUUCCAGCUGAUGGCUUAUUUUAACAGCUGUAUAAACCCGAUAAUUUACGGGUUUAUGUCGAAGCACUUCAGGGAGAACUUCCUGUCGGCCGCCUGCGGCGGGUGGUGGAUUUGCUGCCCUAGGAGAGGCUACCGGGCAUCUGUGACGAGGAACGCAAGCCUCAGCCAGACCAGAAGCACCAGCGUGAGGUGGAUCCGAAACUCCUUCGGAGAGUCAAAGUCCCGAAACUCAAGCGACCCUCAUCCCGUAGACCAUCCGUGACACGCUCGCGGGACCCGCAAGUUCCCGGGCGUGCCCUCGCACCUGACAACGAGAGACCCCCCCGAAAGCCCACGUGCAUGUGCGACGAAUGUCCGCCUAGGGUAGACGAAAUGGAGCAAGAUUCGAUCGAGAUGGACCUGAUUCUUUCUUCAUCCCCGGACCAGGCCGUCGAGGGAGGUCUGCGUCAGAUAGGAGACUUCCGACG